GUAUCCAACCUGCCCACCACUCGGGGAUAACCUUGCGAAAGUAAGAACUUAAUACCCAGGUGACUCUCUCUAUGAACACAUCGAGAAUCGGAUUAGAGAAUUAUUCCGGUGAUGAGAAGGGCGAUGCGUCUCGAUUAGCUUGUUGGCGGGGUAACGGCCCACCAAGGCAACGAUCGGUAGGGGUUCUGAGAGGAAAGUCCCCCACAUUUGGAACUGAGACACGGUCCCAACUCCUACCGGAGGCAGCAGUGAAGAAUAUUGGUCAAUGGGCGAGAGCCUGAACCAGCCAAGUAGCGUGAAGGAUGACUGCCCUAUGGGUUGGAAACUUCUUUUAUAAAGGAAUAAAGUCGAGUAUGGAUACCCUUUUGCAUGUACUUUAUGAUAAAGAUCGGCUAACUCCGUGCCAGCAGCCGCGGUAAUACGGAAGAUCCGAGCGUUAUCCGGAUUUAUUGGGUUUAAAGGGAGCGCAGAUGGAUGUUUAAGUCAGUUGUGAAAUCUUGCGGCUCAACCGUGCAAUUGCAGUUGAUACUGCAUAUCUUGAGUGCACAUGAGGCAGGCGGAAUUCAUGGUG
rnacentral:rRNA from 1 species